UGGAAGCAAAGGUACCACUCUUAUA
rnacentral:piRNA from 1 species